CACUUCUAAGGAAGGCAGCAGGCGCGCAAAUUACCCAAUCCUGACUCAGGGAGGUAGUGACAAGAAAUAACAAUAAACCGGCUUAUGCCGGUUUAAUUGGAAUGAGUACAAUUUAAACAUCUUAACGAGGAACAAUUGGAGGGCAAGUCUGGUGCCAGCAGCCGCGGUAAUUCCAGCUCCAAUAGCGUAUACUAAAGUUGUUGCAGUUAAAAAGCUCGUAGUUGGAUUUCUGUGGGGACGGAGCGGCCGGCCGCACAUCGCGGUUCGAGCUAGCGCUUUCCCUACAUCCUGCCGCGAACCGUGCUACCAUUAAUUUGGUGGCGCCGGGGAUCGGCUCGAUUACUUUGAGAAAAAUAGAGUGUUCAAAGCAGGCCACAUGCCUUGAAUAAGUUAGCAUGGAAUAAUAACUAAGGACUUCGGUUCUAUUUUGUUGGUGUUCGGGACUGAAGUAAUGAUUGAUAGGGACAGUUGGGGCGGUCUGUAUUCCAAAGCGAGAGGUGAAAUUCUUAGACCUUCGGAAGACAAACAGCUGCGAAAGCGUUCCGCAAGGAUGUUCCCUUUGAUCAAGAACGAAAGUUGGGGGAUCGAAGACGAUCAGAUACCGUCGUAGUCUCAACUAUAAACUAUACCAGCUAGGGAUCGGCCAACGUUAUUUUAUACCGACUUGGUCGGCACCUUAUGAGAAAUCAAAGCAUCUGGGUUCCGGGGGGAGUAUGGUCGCAAGGCUGAAACUUAAAGGAAUUGACGGAAGGGCACCACCAGCCGUGGAGCCUGUGGCUUAAUUUGACUCAACACGGGAAAACUUACCAGGUCCAGACAUAGUAAGGAUUGACAGAUUGAUAGCUCUUUCUUGAUUCUGUGGGUGGUGGUGCAUGGCCGUUCUCAGUUGGUGGAGUGAUUUGUCUGGUUAAUUCCGUUAACGAACGAGACCCCAGCCUGCUAAAUAGCGCGCAUGAGCUUUGCUCGUGGCGAGCUUCUUAGGGGGACUAUGAUGCGCGAUAGCACAUGGAAGUUUGGGGCAAUAACAGGUCUGUGAUGCCCUUAGAUGUUCUGGGCCGCACACGGGCUACACUGGCGCCUGCAACGAGCAUAUCAGCUGGCCCGAGAGGGUCUUGGCUAAUCUUUUGAACCGGCGCCGUGCUUGGGAUUGACCUUUGCAAUUGUUGGUCAUGCAACGAGGAAUGCCUUGUAAACGCGAGUCAUCAGCUCGCAUUGAAUACGUCCCUGCCCUUUGUACACACCGCCCGUCGCUCCUACCGAUGAAUGUUCCGAUGAAAUUUUCGGAGAGUGCCUGUGAACUUGGCUCUGCCUUGCGAACGGGAAGCUCAAAGUCACUUAAAUCUGAACAUUUC
rnacentral:rRNA from 1 species